rnacentral:tRNA from 1 species
UGUAUUAAAUUUAGAAUUUAAUAAUGUAUAUUUAAUUAUAUACAAAUAGGA